UGUGGCUUAGUUGGUUAAAGCGCCGGUCUAGCGAAUACGGAGUCGUGGGUUCAAAUCCCACCA
rfam:Aedes albopictus isolate Foshan contig68397, whole genome shotgun sequence.